rnacentral:lncRNA from 1 species
AUGGGAUUUGGAUCCCAAAAAAAAAAUGGACUUUGGAUCCUGGGAAAAGGGAGCUUGGAUCCCGGGAAAAAUCGGGAUUUGGAUCCUGGGAAAAAAUGGGAUUUGGAUCCUGGAAAAAUGGGAUUUGGAUCCUGGAAAAAUGGGAUUUGGAUCCUGGAAAAAUGGGAUUUGCAUCCCGGGAAGAUGGACCUGGAGUCCCGGGAAAAAUGGGAUUUGGAUCCCGGGAAAAAUCGGGAUUUGGAUCCUGGAAAAAUGGGAUUUGCAUCCCGGGAAAAAGGAUUUGGAUCCUGGGAAGACGGACCUGGAGUCCCGGGAAAAAUGGGAUUUGAAUCCCAAAAAAAACAGGACUUUGGAUCCUGGGGAAAAAACGGGAUUUGGAUCCCAAAAAAAUGGGAUUUGCAUCCCGGGAAGACGGACCUGGAGUCCCGGGAAAAAUGGGAUUUGGAUCCCAAAAAAAUCAGGACUUUGGAUCCUGGGAAGACGGACCUGGAGUCCUGGGAAAUUCGGGAUUUGGAUCCCAAGGAAUCGGGAUUUGCAUCCCGGGAAGACGAAGCUCGGGUGCCGGGAAAAAUCGGGAUUUGGAUCCCAAAAAAGGAUUUGGAUCCUGGGAAGACGGACCUGGAGUCCUGGGAAAAAUGGGAUCUGGAUCCCAGAGAAAUGGGAUUCGGAUCCUGGGGGAAAAUCGGGAUUUGGAUCCCAAAAAAAAAACAAACGGGACUUUGGAUCCUGGGAAGACGGACCUGGGGUCCUGGGAAAUUCGGGAUUCGGAUCCCAGGAAAGAAGAGGGACGUUGGAUCCCGGGAAAAAAAAAAAAUCGGGACUUUGGAGUCCACGGAAAAAGGAUUUGGAUCCCGGGAAAAAAAAAUCGGGAUUUGGAUCCCCAGGAAAAGGGACGCUGGAUCCCGGGAAAAGGAGGGAAUUGGGAUCCCAACGGCAGGGAGCUGGAGCCCCGGGAAGACGGAGCCGGAAUCCCGGGAAAAGCUCUGGAAUCCCGGGGAAACCUCUGGAAUCCCGGGAAAAGGAGCCCCAGAAUCCCGGGAAAAGGAGCUCUGGAAUCCCGGGAAAAGCUCUGGAAUCCCGGGAAAAGGAGCUCUGGUAUCCCGGGAAAAGGAGGGAAUUUGGAUCCCGGAAUCGGCUGCGUGGGACGGGAGCGUUCCCACGCUCCAAAUUUUGGGAUGGAGGCAUUCCCAAGAUCCCAAUGGAUCCCAGUGGAUCCCAGUGGAUCCCAAUGGAUCCCAGUGCAGAGCAGCCACAUUCCCAACAUUCCCGCUGUUUUCCCGGCCUCCCAUCCCGGAUUCCGGGAGAAACACCCAGAACACCGAACCCAACCCCCCCGGAAUUCCCAGGAAAUUCCCCUCGGAGGNNNNNNNNNNNNNNNNNNNNAAAAACCCCUCAAAAUCCCAAAAAUCCACAAAACCCCACAAAAUCCCACAAAAUCCCACAAAAUCCCCGCCUUCCCACCCCGAUUUUGGGGUUUUCUGUCCAGUUUUUGGGUUUCCCCCCCCCAGUUUUUCCCCGCUCCUUUGCCAUUCCAGCACGGUCAGAGCCAAAUUCCCAGGGAAUUCCAGAGCUUCUCCCAGUUUUUGCUGGAUUUUUGUCCAAUUUUGGGGUUUUUUUCCCCCUUUCUUUGCCAUCCCGAAAUCCUCGGAGCCAAAUUCCCAGAAAAUUCUGGAAAAUCCCGGAAAAUUCCGGAGCUUUCCCCCAUUUUUUUGUUGCUUUUUUUUGUCCAAUCCUGGGGGUUUUUUUCCUCGUUUUUUCCGGCGGUUUGGGCAUUUCUGGGAAUUCUUUCCCAGUUUUUCCUCCUCUUUCGUGUCCCAGAAAAAUCCUGGAAUUUUUCUUUAUCCAAUCUGGGAAUUUUUGGGGGUUUUUUUUUUCCGGUUCUUUUGGCGUUCCCGGCUUGGUUUUCGUUGUUUUUCGGGAAUUCCUUCCCAACUUUCCGUCGUCUCCUCGGCAUUAAAGCAAAAACCCCUCAAAUCCCGGACUUUUCCCAAAAACUUCCUCUGGAGCCGCGGAUCCCGGUGGGGAAUCGUCGGGAAUUUGGGCAAUUCCUGGAAUUCCGGGGGCGGUUCCAGCCCCAAAUCCCGAUCCCAGGAAUCCCAAACCCCCCCAGAUCCCGGGAUUUGGGGCUGGGCCGGGAUUUCCCGGGGUUUUCCUGGGGUUUCCCGGGGUUUUCCUGGGGUUUUCCGGGGUUUUCCGGAGUUUUCCGGAGUUUUCCGGGCAGGAUCCGCAGCCGGGCCAGAGGAAAAGCGACGGAGCCGCCUCUGGAGGAUUCCCGGGAAAAGCUCCACGAUCCCAAAAAAUCCCUUCCCGGAGCUCUGGGGCCGGGAAACCGCGGAAAAACGGGAAAAGCCGGGAAAAAAGUGGGAAGAGAUUGGGGGGAAAAAGUGGGAAAAACGGUGGCUGUGCCUGCUGGCUCCUGGGGGAAAAAAAACGGGAUUUGGAUCCCGGGAAAUGGGAUUUGGAUCCCAAAAAAAAAAUGGACUUUGGAUCCUGGGAAAAGGGAGCUUGGAUCCCGGGAAAAAUCGGGAUUUGGAUCCUGGAAAAAUGGGAUUUGGAUCCCGGGAAAAAACGGGAUUUGGAUCCUGGAAAAAUGGGAUUUGGAUCCUGGAAAAAUGGGAUUUGGAUCCUGGAAAAAUGGGAUUUGGAUCCCGGGAAGAUGGACCUGGAGUCCCGGGAAAAAUGGGAUUUGGAUCCCGGGAAAAAUUGGGAUUUGGAUCCUGGAAAAAUGGGAUUUGCAUCCCGGGAAAAAGGAUUUGGAUCCUGGGAAGACGGACCUGGAGUCCCGGGAAAAAUGGGAUUUGGAUCCCAAAAAAAUCAGGACUUUGGAUCCUGGGAAGACGGACCUGGAGUCCUGGGAAAUUCGGGAUUUGGAUCCCAAGGAAUCGGGAUUUGCAUCCCGGGAAGACGAAGCUCGGGUGCCGGGAAAAAUCGGGAUUUGGAUCCCAAAAAAGGAUUUGGAUCCUGGGAAGACGGACCUGGAGUCCUGGGAAAAAUGGGAUCUGGAUCCCAGAGAAAUGGGAUUUGGAUCCUGGGGGAAAAUCGGGAUUUGGAUCCCAAAAAAAAAACAAACGGGACUUUGGAUCCUGGGAAGACGGACCUGGGGUCCUGGGAAAUUCGGGAUUCGGAUCCCAGGAAAGAAGAGGGACGUUGGAUCCCGGGGAAAAAAAAAAUCGGGACUUUGGAGUCCACGGAAAAAGGAUUUGGAUCCCGGGAAAAAAAAAUCGGGAUUUGGAUCCCCAGGAAAAGGGACGCUGGAUCCCGGGAAAAGGAGGGAAUUGGGAUCCCAACGGCAGGGAGCUGGAGCCCCGGGAAGACGGAGCCGGAAUCCCGGGAAAAGGAGCCCCGGAAUCCCGGGAAAAGGAGCUCUGGAAUCCCGGGAAAAGGAGCUCUGGAAUCCCGGGAAAACCUCUGGAAUCCCGGGAAAAGGAGCUCUGGAAUCCCGGGAAAAGGAGCCCCGGAAUCCCGGGAAAAGGAGCCCCGGAAUCCCGGGAAAAGGAGCUCUGGAAUCCCGGGAAAAGCUCUGGAAUCCCGGGAAAAGGAGCUCUGGAAUCCCGGGAAAAGGAGCUCUGGAAUCCCGGGAAAAGGAGGGAAUUUGGAUGCUGGAAUCGGCUGCGUGGGACGGGAGCGUUCCCGCGCUCCAAAUUUUGGGAUGGAGGCAUUCCCAAGAUCCCAGCGGAUCCCAAUGGAUCCCAGUGGAUCCCAGUGCAGAGCAGCCACAUUCCCAACAUUCCCGCUGUUUUCCCGGCCUCCCAUCCCGGAUUCCGGGAGAAACACCCAGAACACCGAACCCAACCCCCCCGGAAUUCCUGGAAUUUCCUGGGAAUUCCCCUCGGAGGCGGCUCCGGAGCGUUCCCGUUCCCAGCUCUGCAAUUCCCAGCUGGGAAAGGAGAGGGGGGCUGA